rnacentral:tmRNA from 1 species
GGGGGCGUACUGGUUUCGACUGAAAAUUCGAGAUGCAGACGGCAUGCCGCGGAAGCCUGGUUGGCCGCGUUACCAAUCCUGGGCAAAAAACAUAAAAGCCAAAAACGAAGAACUGGCCCUCGCAGCCUAAGUGCUGAGACGUUCCCGAACUGACGCCUGCUAGGCCUCGGGGACGACACCUGGCAGGCUGGCUUUCCGGCGGAGCGACCGCGCCGGAGAGCGAGACUUCACCCCGUGGACGACCGGCCUCGCGUGGCGCGCCCGCCCGCAGCGUGAGGCUUAAAUUAAUGGCACGGCUAAGCGUGUAGAUGUUUGCGUCAAAAGUUUUUAGGACAGGGGUUCAACUCCCCUCGCCUCCAC